rnacentral:tRNA from 1 species
GGUCAGUUGGUUAAAACGGCGUGCUAAUAACACAAAUGUCAUGGGUUUGGACCCCAUACUGACCA